AUACAUAUUGUAAAGAAGACAUUGCAUGUACGCAAUUCAUAUUCACAUACAUAGCUUUGACAUGUAGUGAACAUGGAAAUUUUCACAUGCCCUGUGGCAGAGCAUAUUAAGGAUCUCCAAUGUAAACACUUUAUAACAUCUACUGUAACGCACCAUAUGUUCUUGUGAAUAAACUUUCAUU